GACGAACGCUGGCGGCGUGCUUAACACAUGCAAGUCGAACGGAAAGGCCCUGCUUUUGUGGGGUGCUCGAGUGGCGAACGUGUGAGUAACACGUGAGUAACCUGCCCUUGACUUUGGGAUAACUUCAGGAAACUGGGGCUAAUACCGGAUAGGAGCUCCUGCUGCAUGGUGGGGGUUAGAAAGUUUCGGCGGUUGGGGAUGGACUCGCGGCUUAUCAGCUUGUUGGUGGGGUAGUGGCUUACCAAGGCUUUGACGGGUAGCCGGCCUGAGAGGGUGACCGGCCACAUUGGGACUGAGAUACGGCCCAGACUCCUACGGGAGGCAGCAGUGGGGAAUAUUGCACAAUGGGCGGAAGCCUGAUGCAGCAACGCCGCGUGCGGGAUGACGGCCUUCGGGUUGUAAACCGCUUUCGCCUGUGACGAAGCGUGAGUGACGGUAAUGGGUAAAGAAGCACCGGCUAACUACGUG
rnacentral:rRNA from 1 species